rnacentral:rRNA from 1 species
AUUCCAGCUCCAAUAGCGUAUAUUAAAGUUGUUGCAGUUAAAAAGCUCGUAGUUGGAUUUCUGGCCGAGUGUCCCCAGGCCAGCAUGACGUUUGGUCCUGGGCGCUCUGCCAUCCUUCUGUCAACCUUCGCCUCGUUCAUUCGUGGCGCUGGGGCUCAGAUAUUUUACCUUGAGAAAAUUAGAGUGUUUCAGGCAGGCUUUCGCCGGAAUACAUUAGCAUGGAAUAAUGGAAAAGGACUUCAACCUCUUCUGUUGGUCUGAGAGGCUGUAGUAAUGAUUAAUAGGGUCAGUUGGGGGUAUUCGUAUUCCGUUGUCAGAGGUGAAAUUCUUGGAUUUGGUCAAGACCAACUUAUGCGAAAGCAUUCACCAAGGAUGUCCUCAUCG